UUUAAGUGAAAUUAUAUUUUUUGUGAUCAGCUUUAAUCGUUUAUCUUUUUUAAUUUUUUUAUAAUUCGUAUUUUUGUUAUUAUGAGAUCAUAAAACAUAAGUAGUAUUUUACUCGUGAUUUAUGUUUUAUUUUUUUUAAAUAAGACCGACAAUCAAAAUUGAACGCGAAAAACCAUGUCUGUAUUUAAA
rnacentral:pre_miRNA from 1 species